rfam:Oryza glumipatula chromosome 6, whole genome shotgun sequence.
UAUAAGUACAGUCGUAGAUUUCCGUGUCCAAUAUUUGACCGUCCUUAUUUUAAAAAAAUAUGAUUAGUAUUUUUAUUGCUAUAAGAUGAUAAAACAUGAAGAAUACUUUAUUUGUGACUAUUUGUUUUAAUUUUUUUUUAAAUAUGACAGACGGUUAAAUGUUGGACACGAAAACUCACAACUGCACUUAUA